GUAUUUGUUGCAAAUUAAUGCAUUAACAUUCUUAAGACUUAAGUAGUGUGUAAGUUAUCGAAGCAUUGCUGCCUCGCAAGAGUGCACAUGGGGUGAAAUGAGAUAUAUAAACGAACGUGCACAUGCUCCUUAAAAAAAGCCAGCACAGUUCAUUAUAAACUCGAUAAUGAUCCUUCCGCAGGUUCACCUACGGAAA
rnacentral:misc_RNA from 1 species